rnacentral:rRNA from 1 species
CCUACGGGCGUGCUGCAGUGGGGAAUAUUGGACAAUGGGCGAAAGCCUGAUCCAGCCAUGCCGCGUGUGUGAAGAAGGCCUUCGGGUUGUAAAGCACUUUCAGUGGGGAAGAAAGCCUUGGGGCUAAUACCCUCGAGGAAGGACAUCACCCACAGAAGAAGCACCGGCUAACUCCGUGCCAGCAGCCGCGGUAAUACGGAGGGUGCGAGCGUUAAUCGGAAUUACUGGGCGUAAAGCGCGCGUAGGCGGUCUGAUAAGCCGGUUGUGAAAGCCCCGGGCUCAACCUGGGAACGGCAUCCGGAACUGUCAGGCUAGAGUGCAGGAGAGGAAGGUAGAAUUCCCGGUGUAGCGGUGAAAUGCGUAGAGAUCGGGAGGAAUACCAGUGGCGAAGGCGGCCUUCUGGACUGACACUGACGCUGAGGUGCGAAAGCGUGGGUAGCAAACAGGAUUAGAUACCCCGGUAGUC